UUUUUCUCCUGUCAUUAAAAUGUAAAGUUUUCUUGGGUGAGGGCUAUCUUUUCACCUUUAGAUCUAGUACAGUUCUUAAUAAUGUCAGCUGAACCAAAUUAAAUGGGUAAAAGCUGGCCUCCAAUAAAACUUAAUGAAACUUCUGUAAUUCUAUUGUAGCUUUGGAAAUGAGAACUGUUACUAUGAAACCAUCAUGAAACAAUGGAACCGAAUUAAGCACUAUAAUCCAGCCAUCCUGCAGAAGUAAAUAGAAGACACUGAAGCUGAACUUGAAUCUUAUUUCUGACUUUCAAUUCUAGCUUGUUGUGAAGCAGGUUGUUUAUUUGAUGUGUCUUAAUUUGCCCAGCUGCAAAAUAGCUGUGACUAUUCCGUUCAUUGAAAUCUCUGGGGCCUGGUAUUCUCAUUGAGCCAUUGGAUGUCAACAUACCAUGAAUGUAGCUCAUUAUGCCAAAAACGUAGUGCAUGCAGCUUAAUCAACGCAGCAGUGAAGACCAAGCGUGUUGGAGCAAUUGUACUGAUUUGACAUUUUCCUGGAUUCGACAAGGAGGAGGGAUAUCGCUACAUGAAUACAAUUACUAUCAUCCGCAGCAAGACAGGCUGCGCAACUGAUGUGUCCUGAGUGAAAGGCUGCAUAUUGAUUUUCCGUUGCAAUUUCUUCCAAAAGUCAUAACAUGGUUGCCAUUGACAGCAAGAUGUGCCAGAGAGGAAAGGACUGGAGACUUAGAGACAGGGAGAGGCCAUACUUCUUAGGCCUACACAGCCAUGGAGUGUGCUGGUCAGAGAGAACUUGUGAGGAAUGUAAUUAAGCGACAACCUUCAGCUGCACCUGCGGAUUCACUGCAGCAUUCACACUCCCCCCAAGUAGCUACCAGCCAAAACCUGAGCGUGGUGGAGGUCCUAAAGCCAGGUUAUACCUGCCCGAGGUGAGACUUGUCUAAUGGGUAAUCUUUGCUUUAGUGCUCCCUAUUGGCCUGGCCAGGUCUUUCUCAUUGUAGCACUGUAGUCUGAGGCUCUUCCUUCCCAAUCCUCCUUCUUUCCCAAUGUCCUUCACUGGUGUCA